ACGGAGGGUGCAAGCGUUAUCCGGAUUCACUGGGUUUAAAGGGUGCGUAGGCGGGCGUAUAAGUCAGUGGUGAAAUCCUGGAGCUUAACUCCAGAACUGCCAUUGAUACUAUAUGUCUUGAAUAUGGUGGAGGUAAGCGGAAUAUGUCAUGUAGCGGUGAAAUGCAUAGAUAUGACAUAGAACACCUAUUGCGAAGGCAGCUUACUACGCCUAUAUUGACGCUGAGGCACGAAAGCGUGGGGAUCAAACAGG
rnacentral:rRNA from 1 species